UAAGAAUUUAAAUAAAAACUAUCAAAUACCUAAAAACAAAAUCUGUAAUAAAAUUUUAUCUUGUGAAAUCAGAUGUUGAUACAAAUAUAUAUUUAAUAGAAUACUAUAUUUUAAAAUAUAAUUAACGAUAUACCUAUUGUAUCCGCGGCAAAGCACGGGUACAUCGCUAGUAUUCUUUUUAUAUGCUGGGCAAUAUGGAAAGAAAGAAAUACGAAUAUUUUGAUGCAAAGAGAUGCACAAUGAAGACCUAAUCUGGGAGGCUAAAUACGAGGCGAAGCUUUAGACUCAAGCUGCUAUAACUGACAUUCUCUGAAAAAGAUUCUUUUUAUAUAUUUUCCUAAUCCGGGAGGCUAAAUACGAGUCUGAGCUUUAGACUCAGCUGCUAUAACUGACAUUCUCUGAGAAAGAUUCUACUUUUCCUUAUUUGUCUUUUAUAUAAGUAUUAGUAAGAAAUUAUAGUAAAUUAAACUUUGGGUAAACUUUAAAUAUCACUCUUGUGGUUUCGUAAUUUCUCAAUUUAGUAUUCUGUGGUUUAAAGUGUAUCAAUUUAGUAUCAUGUGGUUUUAUUUUUUUUUUCGUCAGUUCCUUCGUUAACUUUUCGUUAAAUUAUAUACAAAAAAUUUCAGAUACCCCACUUAUAGUUUAUCUAAUAUUUAUUUUAGUAUUCUUUAGUGUUAACUUUGUCACUGAUUUAACGAAAAAAUUAGUAGAAGAAAUAACAAAAAAAAAAUACUUUAAACCACAUAUUAUUAAAGUGAGAAAGUACGAAAUCACAUAAAUGAUAUUCGAAGUUUUUUCUUAAACUUUUAUAAUCAAAGUAUCACGCCUCUCAUAGUUUGAGGAUCAAAAGUCUAAUUUACCCUAU
rnacentral:lncRNA from 1 species